ACACCCGGUGGGGAGAGAGGGAAGGGGGCGCCAGGCUAAAGCAAUCGAUCAUCGAUCCGCUCACAGCUCACGGCUUCGCGUAACGAAAGCAGCGCCGAUCGGUUUAAAUCCUCAUCUGGACAUCGUCAUCGUCAUCAGCGUCAUCAUCGACGCCAAUCCCAGACCGGGGUUCAACUCAACCCACCAUCCCCCCCCCCUCCUCCUGACUGGGUGGAGUGAGCGAGUGAGUGAGCGAGCGAGCGGGUUGGCGUGUGAGUGAGUGAGAGAG